CAGUAGCCGCGGUAAUACGUAGGGUGCAAGCGUUAAUCGGAAUUACUGGGCGUAAAGCGUGCGCAGGCGGUUAUAUAAGACAGAUGUGAAAUCCCCGGGCUCAACCUGGGAACUGCAUUUGUGACUGUAUAGCUAGAGCACGGCAGAGGGGGAUGGAAUUCCGCGUGUAGCAGUGAAAUGCGUAGAUAUGCGGAGGAACACCGAUGGCGAAGGCAAUCCCCUGGGCCUGUACUGACGCUCAUGCACGAAAGCGUGGGGAGCAAACAGGAUUAGAUACCCGUGUAGUCCCUGUCUCUUAUAC
rnacentral:rRNA from 1 species